rnacentral:lncRNA from 1 species
AGCGAAAUGGUUUUUCAAGUAGAACAGUAUGAAAAGCCUCUGUGUCUCAUCUUUCUCUCCUUAUAGGGGUGGAGAGUAACUCCAAGACAAGUGGAAGGAGCUGGGUGUGGAGAGAAUCAUCUGUACAACAUGGGAAUGUCUUCGAGAGGGGUAAGCUGGCGUCUCAAGUUCUGGAUGGGGCUAGAGAGAUGAAGAGAGAUGACCAGAUAAUUGACAAUAGGCUCCCACGGAAGUCUUCUCUGCAUUUCUGCAAAAAUUUAGGAAACAUUAGGUUUGACACCAUCAUCAUGUUUGCCAAGGCAGCAAACAUCCCUGUCGGCAAAGCUUCAAACGUGAUGAAGCGGAACAGCAAGGACAGCUCGAAAGUGAUGCUCCCAAAAAAGCCGUAUAUGAUCUGCCCCAGUGCUGGGUAAACAGAAGGAGACAAGAGCUUACUUCCUCCGUGGUCAUGUGCCUGCAGGGACUCCGGGAACUUCAAAUAAGGAGUCAAUUUCUCAUCCACAGCUCCCAACUUCCCCACGGCGUCUGGUAGGGACUCCACCUCUGAAGGGGAGAAGAGCAGAGGCUGGUUCUGCCUUUGGCUUCUACACAGUUUUCCACAGUAAGUGCCCAUGGGGUUAAGGGCAGGUCCCCCUACUCUUACUCUCUACAACGGCCU